rnacentral:rRNA from 1 species
CUACGGGGUGCUGCAGUAGGGAAUUUUCGGCAAUGGGCGCAAGCCUGACCGAGCAACGCCGCGUGAGUGAUUAAGGCCUUCGGGUUGUAAAGCUCUGUUGUAAAGGAAGAACGAUCAGUAUAGGAAAUGGUACUGAUGUGACGGUACUUUACCAGAAAGCCACGGCUAACUACGUGCCAGCAGCCGCGGUAAUACGUAGGUGGCAAGCGUUAUCCGGAAUUAUUGGGCGUAAAGGGAGCGUAGGCGGUUUAUUAAGUCUAUGGUGAAAGUGCGGGGCUCAACCCCGUAUGGCCAUAGAAACUGAUAGACUAGAGUGCAGAAGAGGGUAGUGGAAUUCCAUGUGUAGCGGUAAAAUGCGUAGAUAUAUGGAGGAACACCGGUGGCGAAGGCGGCUACCUGGUCUGUUACUGACGCUGAGGCUCGAAAGCGUGGGGAGCAAAUAGGAUUAGAUACCCCGGUAGUC